rnacentral:rRNA from 1 species
GAUGAACGCUGGCGGCGUGCCUAAUACAUGCAAGUCGAGCGAACGGACGAGGAGCUUGCUUCUCUGAUGUUAGCGGCGGACGGGUGAGUAACACGUGGAUAACCUACCUAUAAGACUGGGAUAACUUCGGGAAACCGGAGCUAAUACCGGAUAAUAUUUUGAACCGCAUGGUUCAAAAGUGAAAGACGGUCUUGCUGUCACUUAUAGAUGGAUCCGCGCUGCAUUAGCUAGUUGGUAAGGUAACGGCUUACCAAGGCAACGAUGCAUAGCCGACCUGAGAGGGUGAUCGGCCACACUGGAACUGAGACACGGUCCAGACUCCUACGGGAGGCAGCAGUAGGGAAUCUUCCGCAAUGGGCGAAAGCCUGACGGAGCAACGCCGCGUGAGUGAUGAAGGUCUUCGGAUCGUAAAACUCUGUUACUAGGGAAGAACAUAUGUGUAAGUAACUGUGCACAUCUUGACGGUACCUAAUCAGAAAGCCACGGCUAACUACGUG